rnacentral:rRNA from 1 species
AGGCCUAACACAUGCAAGUCGAACGGUAGCACAGAGAGCUUGCUCUCGGGUGACGAGUGGCGGACGGGUGAGUAAUGUCUGGGAAACUGCCUGAUGGAGGGGGAUAACUACUGGAAACGGUAGCUAAUACCGCAUAACGUCGCAAGACCAAAGAGGGGGACCUUCGGGCCUCUUGCCAUCAGAUGUGCCCAGAUGGGAUUAGCUAGUAGGUGGGGUAACGGCUCACCUAGGCGACGAUCCCUAGCUGGUCUGAGAGGAUGACCACCCACACUGGAACUGAGACACGGUCCAGACUCCUACGGGAGGCAGCAGUGGGGAAUAUUGCACAAUGGGCGCAAGCCUGAUGCAGCCAUGCCGCGUGUAUGA